UCCCAUUUGAUUGCUACACUGUUUUGGUCAUGAGAACGCCGAAGUAGUUUCAUGCAUUAAGCAGAAGUGUACAUUGCUGCCAAUAAAGGAUUAUAAACACGAAAUAUAUAUUUUAGCACACAGUUCAUUUUGACCUUGUUUUGUAUGGAUCUGAUACAGACUUCAUCCUCAAAAAGACAGCGAACUGACAGCCCAUUCUGAAAGACUUCUAAAACAUUUGGCUAGUGCUUUUUCAGUCGAACCUGUGAGGCAACAAUGCAGGGGUUUUCUAAAUUACAGUUUAUUAUUGUCAAAAAAAUUAUGGUCAGCAUCUUCAUUAUUUAACUAGCUAUUAUGUCUGCUGUCUAGAAAUCUAUUAGAAGAAGGGGCAAACACACUUCCUGUUGUCUUCUGUAAGCGUGGAAGACCUUGGUACACUGAAUCUAAAAGAUAACGAGAAACUAAUAUUGACUACUUCUGUAGAGUUUACACUAUCUUUAAAUAUCCCACCUUCAGUGGCCUGAGAAAAGCAUAAAGGGCUUUUCGUUUACUACAGUUCUGAUUUCUAAAAUGGCUUACAUUCUUCUGCCCACUUCCCAGUAAGUUGAAUUUUAAAUAGUAUGUUGAAAUAUGGUUUAUUCUAACUUCAAACCUGAUUAUUAGGUGGUUCUUAAUAUUAGCAUAAAGAGUAAUAACUGGUAUUCAUAUUAGUUGUGGUUAAUUAAAAAAAAAAUCGUUGGAAAACUGAAGAACUGUUAAAAAACACCACUGCUUGUGCAUAUGUUUCAUUUCCUGUACAGUUCAUGUAAAUUAAUCUGUGAAGGUACCCAUUUGCUUUCUAGUAAAUCCUUUGUCAUAUUUUUUUCUCUCCUGAGAUGGCUACAAGGUCCUCAGUCAGGUAGUCAUUACAAUGAAUGGGGUGACUUAUUUUAAAUACUUUGAAAUGAUCAGUUGAGUGCCUUGAGAUUGUGAAUAUGCAGUCUCACCACAAUUGUUGUGUUUUUCUCACUGUCAUCUUCUCUUGCCUACUUGCAUUUGGUUUAUUCUCUUCAGUUAGAAAGCUUGUAUAGGUGCGAGGGGCCACUCUUCUGUUAAAAUACAAAUAGAGAAGACAUUUCUAACAUUCUUAAUUUGGGUUGGUUUUUUUUUUUUCUGGGUUGUUUUUGGUUGUGGGUUUUUUUGUUGGUUUUUUUUCUUUUGUUGUUGCUGGGUUUUUUUUUUUUUGGGGGGGUGUGUGUUUGUUUUGAUUUUUAGUUUGAAAGUGGUAGAGUAUACGUUUUUCGUUUAACUUUCAACAAAUUGUCCAGCAGUACCCCCAAACAAGCUAGACAAAAUUUUCCUCUUUUCAGCUUCUUUAGUCCUUCAGGAAACUCUGCACCUCUAUCAGUCUGUCACUACUUUCCAUAUUUACCCAUAAUUUUGUUUUUGUUUAUGGGGUAAAGUUAUUGGCGAAAGUGGCUUAUUUGAAAAUUAUGGCAUAGGUUUUAUAAGCUCUUGUUGUUUGUUUGCUUUUAAGAAAAAACAGGUUUGUCUAAUGGUAGCUUUCUAGAACUGUCAUAUGCCAUAGUUGCAUUUAUGAUGCUUCUUUUCUAAGUCCAAAUUUACUUUUCAAUAGCCAUGCAAGCUUGCUACAAGUCCUAACAUCCACUACAGCAUCUUUUUUGUGUAUUGGCUACUUCCAUGAAAUUUUUGUACAUCAUCCAUUAUAAUUUAACAAAAUGAAGUAACUGAGCUAAAUAUGCAAGUUACUCAUAAAAGAACAUAGCUUUAACCGUUACUACCAUUAAUAGCUUUGACCUUUAUUGCCAUUAGAAUCCCUGGGUAGUUGUUUUGAGAUUGGGUGAAGGAUGCAAUUCCUGUUUGCACUUUUCCAGCAAGUGGAAUUGCUGUCUUGCUGUCCUCGAAAUGGAUGAAUUUAGUGGGCCUCAUCUCUGAGGUGAUGAAAGCAUGACUUCCUUGCUAGUCUUACUCAGUUCCAGAUAUAUGUAUCAUGAUCGCUUAGUCUUUUGAACUGAAUGCUCUAGUGCACAGGGUAGAGGGGUGAAAGGGAAGGAAGCUGUUCAGUUACUCAACAUCAGACUCCCCACAAUAUUACACACUGUGAUAAUGUUGCUACAUAUCUCACAUUUAAACAGGAAGCAAAGAUGGGAAGGAAACAUACAAGUACAUUCCAAUAAUGACAUUUCCAACUGAGACCAAAAUCUAACUAGUAAUGCCCAUAUUGAAACUAGUGUGAAGCAAGAGCAGAGCUUCAUGCAAAAAAUUAAGAGCUAGACACAGAUGAUGUGCAGAUGAUGUGCAGGCUUGCACUGAAGGAUCCUUCCCUGUGUGUGGUUAACCAUUAUUCUUCUGUAGAAUACUGCUGUUAGUAACUGUAAAGUCUGCCUGUGACACUCAUCUUCAUCUGAUGAUUUUAUAGAAGGCUAGAACCAGGUUUUUUUGCUUUGAAAAAAUCAUAAUGUAAUUAAUUGCUAAAGUAUUUAUGCAUGUGGGUAAAAAUAUUUUAAAAACCCACUAAAAUCCACAAAACCAAAACCAACCAGACUGACUUUUGCAACUGAGAAUAUUGUUCUUCUAAAGAGGGUAUACUUUUUAGCACUGAACAGUUAAACUAGUUACCAUGAGUUACUGUGAACUGGAUCAUAACAGCUUUGCAAGUAAGCUCUUAGUAUAUAUGAAUUAAAACCAAGGUAGUAUAUUUUUCUAGAUUAGCUUUGUUUUUUCUCAGCACUAUAAAGAUUUUAGUGUUUUGCUUAGACUUUUCUUUGUCAUCCAAGAUAGUGAUUGUAGAGUGGUAACUUCCUCCAGUUCUUCACUUGCACAUUUGCUGAGAAUCCUUGAGAUAAAGCCUAAAUAAGAAGAUGUGAGACACUGCGAAGUGAAAGAAUCCUUACCACAGCACAGAGUUAAAAGUAUUUUGUAAAUCCAGGGCUGCAGAGUGCACUGCAUUGGGCUCGCAAAGAACGACUUUGCCAGUGUUUGAGCAGAGAGGCUUCUGCUAUAAAUGUGGUGGCUGGUGCCUUUACAUAGAUACCUAUUAUGUAUUGGGGCUUGGCAUUUUCAGAUCUUAAAAGGGAAUUUAAAAUAACUUCUUCAUAGCUGAACAGUUGUUGCCACUCUGAUACCACCAAGUCCUUGUUCUAGUUAACAUGUUUAAGUAUUACUCUUUCUGUAAUGGCUCGUCUUUGACCUUAUUUAAAUUAAAAAAAAAAAAAAGUUCCUAAGAUGUUACUGUCCAGUUAGGUACAAGGAGCAAUGUUAAAAUUACAGUGGCUAUCCUAAUAGUUUCAGUGGCAUUUGCUUAAAGCUGUGUUUGAGCAUCUUGUUUGAAACCAGUCAUGUUUAUCUCUUGCUUUUACUAAUACUGUACACUCUGAUAAAUCAAAUCAUAUGUCAUUAAGGGCUGCUACAGAUAAUUUUAAUACUACUGGACAAAAUUCUUACGCCUUUAAAUAUUGUAAAUCCUGCCCCUAAUACAUGGUAGCCCUUUUUAUUAUAUACAUAAUUUAACAGAGCAGAACUUGUAUAAAAAAUGUGAAUGCUUAUGUCAUAUAUAGCUAGCACAAAUUUAUUCUUGUUUUUAUGGUCAGUAGCACUAAGUUGAAUUAGCACAUGAAUGAGGACAAUUACUAACUUGCACAGAAAUCAUAUUUUUCAGGGACCUGUUCUGGCCACCCAUCAUUAGAGAGAAAACUGUGUUACAGUGUAUUGAUGGUGUAUAACAUAUAAAAGAGGCAGUUUCUGUCUCACUGUUGUCUGUGGGAUUUUUUUGUCUGCUGAGACAAUGAGGGAAUCUACUAAGAUGAGGGAAGAUAGCCUGCACUCCUACUACCAUUUGAAUUGUUUAGGAGUCUCAGGGCUGCUAUUAUAUUGCUUACUGCUUUUACACUUCAUUGUUGUAAGGGAGCAAAAGUAUUCACUUCAGUCUACCAAAAGAAUUUUUAAAGAUACGAAUAUUGUGAAAUAUGGAGAUUCAGAUAUGGAGAUUCAGAGUGUAUGUUUGCUAAUGUCGAUCUCAGAGCAAAACUGGUGGGAUGGAGUAACUAUGGACUUUAGAUGUUCUCUGAACUUUAAAAACCUGGAACUCCAGCUCUACUGCCUUGUUUAAUAUUAGCUAGAUAAAUGCAUAAAUAGUAUCUUUUUGUCAAAACCUAAGAAGUAGGAUACAUCUGUAGAAUCAUCUUUAUGCCCUGAGUUUUCACUGACUUUGUGCUCGUGAGGCAUUGAAACAGUCCCUCUCUGUAUGUUAAAACUACUUUAACUUGCUUCUCCUCACUGGGCUCUUGAAGAGCUAUCUGGACAUGAAAAUGCUAGUACAUGGGAGUCAAACAUCUCAAACUAACACCUGCAAACAACAGUGGAAGUAUGUCUCUAUUUGUGGAACAAGUUAAGCUUAGAAGGAUGGAAUUAUAUGCAGUAACAUUCAUUUUUGUGGUAAAAUUGUCAGCUUUUUAACUUAGCCUGUGCUACUGAGUCUCAGGGCUUCGAUUCCAGCAACAUUAGAGCAUCCAAAAACUUACUGAACCCAAGAGAUUGUCUUAAUACUGCAGUUAAGCUUGCGAGUGACUGCAAUACUUGGUAGUUUGUGAAGCUUUUGGACUAGAUGGCAAUAAAAUAAGGUCAGCAUGAGAAUAAGGCAGUCUGGGUUUUGCCUGUAAUGUACUGCAAAAUGUGCCAGCUUCCGGUGAUACAGUUCCAUUUGUCUAGCUUGAUAACUUGCUAGAUAUUAAUAAUUUAAAAUGUAUUACUCCCUUUAAGCAAUGGUGCCGCUUUAGCACUUGAAAGUUAGAAUACCUAGUAUCAGUGUCAGAGCACUGUAAUAGAUGCGCAAGUCUACUGCCAAUUUUUUUCAACCGAAUGCUCGUAGCCGAAUAGGUGGUUUGCAGAGGAGACCUCCAUUCCUUAAUCAGUGCUGUUACUCAGAUUCUGUACUGUAAAUUGUUAGGUUUGACUUUAUAUAACUGUUCUGUUAAUUUUUAUAGGCAAUACACACAUCUGCCAAAAAUAGUGCCUUACAUUGUUCAAACACCACCACUCCUAGUGCUGAUAGGUAGCUGAUUGUUUCUUUUGUGGCAGAAUCAUGCAUCCAGAAAUCAGGGACUGUUUUCUAAAACUCUGAGCACUUAUUUUGAUGUGAUGCUUCAACGAAACUAGCAGUAGAGUUACCUGUUCUCUUUAGUAAGUUUUUCACAGGACUGUGUUGCUAUUAGCUGUGCAGAAAUUCACCAUUAAAUAUAUUGACCUGAUGGCUAAAGAAGCUUACAUUUACAAAUUUUUCACUGACAACUGACCAAAGUUGUGGGGAAUAUCGGCUAUAUUCAUCAAAAGACAAUUUGAAUCAAGAUGGAGUUAAUUGGGAGGAGGUACCACAUUGACACUGUCUGGCUCAAAAUAAAUUGAAAUUAUUGGAAA